CUUAUCUAUGGUCCAGUGAGACAAACACAGUAUCUAUCAAAAUAAUUGAUCUGUCACAAAUCAGUUGCAGUCAUUAUUGUUUAACCUAUUACUGUAACUAUUCAGUUGUGGCAUGAUGAGGUCCUUAGUUAAGUUGUGUUGACUACAUUUAUAUAGUUAUGAUUUAUGAAGCGUGUCAAAGUACAAUUUGACAAACACGUACAUUUUAGCAAAGGUCCAAUAACUAGG